CGCCUGUUUAACAAAAACAUGUCUUUUUGAAUUUUUUUUAAAGUCUAGCCUGCCCCCUGAAUAAUUUUAAAUGGCCGCAGUAUACUAACUGUGCAAAGGUAGCAUAAUCAUUAGUCUUUUAAUUGAAGGCUGGUAUGAAUGGUUGGACGAGAUAUUAACUGUUUCAUAAAAAUUUAUAAUAGAUUUUUAUUUUUUAGUCAAAAAGCUAAAAUAUAUUUAAAAAACGAGAAGCCCCUAUAAAACUUUAUAUUUAGGUUAUUAUAAUUUUAUAGAUUUUUUUUGUUAUAAUAAUUGAUAAUAUUUUAUUGGGGUGAUAUUAAAAUUUGAUAAACUUUUAAUUGUUUAAAUCAUUAAUUUAUGAAUAAUUGAUCCGUUAUUAGCGAUUAAAAAAAUAAGUUACUUUAGGGAUAACAGCGUAAUUUUUUUGGAGAGUUCAUAUCGAUAAAAAAGAUUGCGACCUCGAUGUUGGAUUAAGGUAUAAUUUUAGGUGUAGCCGCUUAAAUUUUAAGUCUGUUCGACUUUUAAAUUCUUACGUGAUCUGAGUUCAGACCGG
rnacentral:rRNA from 1 species